AAGUGACAAAGAUGCCGUCGUGAUUGUCGAUCCAAAACCAUCCAGUAGGGGACCGAUGGUAUCUCGGGUGCCACCCAUGCCUGAACCAGAAUUGGCCAAUAUAGAGUUGGUCGUAUCUCAGGUGCCGCCCACACUUGAAUAGAUGGUGGUUCCCAUAGGUUAGUCAUCCACACAGAAAUGUGAGAAGGCACCAGAAGUUUUGACUGACGAUGGGGCUUCAAACUUUAUGGAGCUCUUUGACAUUCGGAUUCCUGUUGGUGAGUUAGCUUUGGCGAACCCAAAGUUGGCUAAGCGACUUCUGGAGGAUGCACUUCUCCUGAUUGACAGGGAGAAUAGGAAGAGUCAGACCAUAUCCGACAUGUUUUCAUCUUAUUAUCUGACGAUCCUAAGCAUAAGUUGGUACUUCAUCUUCCAUCUACCUUUCUUAUAUUUGACUUUUUUUUUAACUCUCUUCUUCUUUUCAGCUAGUGCAUGAUAUGUCGGCACUAGAGAGAGGGUAUAGGGCGAUCGUGGAUCUCCAUCGAUCAUGGGCUGAUAAAGUUGCGGCUGCCAAUGCCGACAAAGCCAUUACCAUCGAACAUCUUCA
rnacentral:lncRNA from 1 species